CGGACGGGUGAGUAAUGCUUGGGAAUCUACCUAGUAGUGGGGGAUAACGUGUGGAAACGCACGCUAAUACCGCAUACGUCCUACGGGAGAAAGCAGGGGAUCUUCGGACCUUGCGCUAUUGGAUGAGCCCAAGUCGGAUUAGCUAGUUGGUGAGGUAAUGGCUCACAAAGGCGACGAUCCGUAGCUGGUCUGAGAGGAUGACCAGCCACAUCGGGACUGAGACACGGCCCGA
rnacentral:rRNA from 1 species